GAUGAACGCUGGCGGCGUGCCUAAUACAUGCAAGUCGAGCGAACAGACGAGGAGCUUGCUCCUCUGACGUUAGCGGCGGACGGGUGAGUAACACGUGGAUAACCUACCUAUACGACUGGGAUAACUUCGGGAAACCGGAGCUAAUACCGGAUAAUAUAUUGCACCUCAUGGUUCAAUAGUGAAAUACGGUUUUGCUGACACUUAUAGAUGGAUCCGCGCCGCAUUAGCUAGUUGGUAAGGUAACGGCUUACCAAGGCAACGAUGCGUAGCCGACCUGAGAGGGUGAUCGGCCACACUGGAACUGAGACACGGUCCAGACUCCUACGGGAGGCAGCAGUAGGGAAUCUUCCGCGAUGGGCGAAAGCCUGACGUAGCAACGCCGCGUGAGUGAUGAAGGUCUUCGGAUCGUAAAACUCUGUUAUUAGGGAAGAACAAAUGUGUAAGUAACUAUGCACGUCUUGACGGUACCUAAUCAGAAAGCCACGGCUAACUACGUG
rnacentral:rRNA from 1 species